rnacentral:rRNA from 1 species
AUUGAACGCUGGCGGAAUGCUUUACACAUGCAAGUCGAACGGCAGCACGGACUUCGGUCUGGUGGCGAGUGGCGAACGGGUGAGUAAUGUAUCGGAACGUGCCCAGUCGUGGGGGAUAACGUAGUGAAAAUUACGCUAAUACCGCAUACGAUCUAUGGAUGAAAGCGGGGGAUCGCAAGACCUCGCGCGAUUGGAGCGGCCGAUAUCAGAUUAGGUAGUUGGUGGGGUAAAGGCCCACCAAGCCAACGAUCUGUAGCUGGUCUGAGAGGACGACCAGCCACACUGGAACUGGGACACGGUCCAGACUCCUACGGGAGGCAGCAGUGGGGAAUGUUGGACAAUGGGCGAAAGCCUGAUCCAGCCAUUCCGCGUGCAGGAUGAAGGCCCUCGGGUUGUAAACUGCUUUUGUACAGAACGAAAAGGUUUCUACUAAUACUAGGAGCUCAUGACGGUACUGUAAGAAUAAGCACCGGCUAACUACGUGCCAGCCGCCGCGUAA